ensembl:lncRNA
CAGCAGGAAGUUUAGGGAGUGAAGGAGCUCCAUGCUGGGUGCUGCUCAUGCCCUAGAGAAGAGAAAUGCUGGGUACCCCAAGCCUUGGAGAAACGAGAGAGGAAGUGAGGGGAGACAUUUCCUUCAAAAUUGCCAAUUUAAGCAUUUGUUAAGGUGACAGUUUAAUUUUUACUUCUCCUUCUGGCUUUUCUGCAAGUGCCCCUCAGAAAUCCUCCACCCUGCACCCAUCUGCUGGCCCCAUCCCAGAAGGGGAAGGUUGGCAGGGAGCUCCCCAAGUCCCUUUGUGCUGUCAGGGAGCUGGGCCAGGGGCGCUGCUGGAUCUGAUCCCUCUGGAGGGAGGAGAGGUUGGCAGGAGUUAAUUGUGGGAGUUCUGCAUGUGGCAGCCCUACAAACCCACAGCACCAGAUGCAGGCUGUGGCUGCUCCUUCCUCCGACCUAAAUAUCCCCCAGAAAAGCAAUUCCUUUGGAUUUGUCCAUGCCCUGCCUCAGCAGAUCCAUCGUAAACCUGCCUCUGGCUGCUCUUCCACCAGCCAGCCAACCUCCUGUGUGGUUUGAGGAGCCUUGGGUUGCAUGGCAGUUCUGUAUCAAAGGGAGUAAUCCUUUCCACAGGGUUCUCAGGAGUGCACAGGUUCUAGUUGUACUUUUUCCCCCACAUUUUGGAUGUGCUGUUGAACCAUGGGCUAUAACUUUGUUAUUUUUUUCCUGCCUUUAAGCACAACUAAACCACCUGCUGGAACAGCUCCUGUCUGCUCAUCAGCAGGGAUUGCAAAUGUUGUCUGACCUGAAAAAAAGCCUAGGAGUUGUCCCUAAAAUAUAAAUGUAAACUUUUCUGGUCAUUUUAUGGGUUUUUUUUUUUUUGAGUGUGCUUGGUAAGCAUGAAUGGUGACCAGGUCAUCAGGCAGGCUUGGGAAUCUCUAAUCCCCUGGCUGGUGCUGUUUGUGUUUGCUUUGUUAGAUUAGAUCUCCUGUCAGAAAAGAAAAUAUAAUGUGGACUCUUUUCUGUAUUUAUCAGCUUUUCCUGGUUUUAAAGCCAUGAAUAGAGGAAGCUUUGGUCAUGCUGGUUUUUGUGAAAUUGCACAUUUUUGCCUGAUAUGUACUUGACUCAAAGCAGAUCCUGUCUGGGCUUUAUGGGCACCCCAAAAUCUCAGCUGCUGGGGGUUGGAUCAGGUUUCUCAUGUGCCAACAUGACAUGCAGCGAAUUUUGUUUCUAGAUUUCACCAAAGUUAGAUCUGCAUCAACUGUGAGGUGUUCAAACCUCACUGUUUUAUAGCACUGUUUCUAUGUUAUUAAAAAGUAAGGAUUUGACCCAAAGACUUUCAUUCCUGAUAGAUUUUCUCAUGAAGCUUAACAACUGAGCCCUUCAAUUGCUCAUCUCAUUUACAAAUGACAGCUUCAUAAUUGCAUUUAAAGAAAAUAAGAGAAAAUGCCCAAAAAAAUCAAAAAGCCAUUAAGGAGUAAGCUUUAGAUUUAUCUUGGAGAAUCAAACUUUCAGUGAGGUGCAAUGAGGAAUUACAAAGUGCUGUGCCAUCCUGAAGAGUGUUACCACUUCCUUUCUGUAAUUUGUUGGUAAAGUUUAGUAGAUUUUUUAGAUCUGUCCAUGUCCCUUUCUGUGUGUGUGCACACGUGUGUGUGACAGGACAGGGGACAUUGUAUAGGCUGUCUGUAAAAGAUACAAAGGCAGUAUUUGGCUGGAAAUAACAAGCACAAUUUCCCUGGCUUUUGCAGUAUUUUAUUGUACAAUCGCAAAGAUUUCAACAUUUAGGACAGUUGUUAAGUAAAGAUCCAGCCCCAGAUUUCUGUGCAGCAGAGUGGUUGACUUGAUCUUGGGAGGGCAAAAUGAGAAACAGAAUGUAUUGAUUAAAUCUAUUUUAUUUUUGCUUUAAUUUUGGUACAUUGCAAAAUUAACUGCCUUUAUCUGUUAGGGUUUUAAUCUUUUAAUAAUUUCAAAAAUUACUUUAAAAUUAUUUUUUAUAAAAUAACUGAAAAAAAAGGACGAAAAAUCCAGAAGCUUCAUCUUGUGAAUGUUCCCUGCAAUCAAAAUAUUUUUGUGAUCAUUUAAAGUUUGUUUUUUGUUGUGGGUUUUUUUUUUUUUUUUUGAGGAAAAAAGAAAGAUGAUGUCAAGGUUGUUCCAAGUGGUACUAAAUGUGUGUUGAGUAGUGUUGUGUGUGUGUUGCAUCUCUGUGGAACUGUCUCGUGCUUGCAGGAUAGAAAUGAUUGGUGCUGGCUGGGUGGGAGUAGCACUUGCAAUGCCAAACCAGGCCCAGAAGGACCCUCAGCUGACUCUGAAGGGCAUCCCUGGCACUGCAGGGUUUUCCCUGGAGUUGUGGCAUCACUUGGCAGUGCUGGGGGCUCUCGGGGGUGGAAUUCAUCCACUGCUUCUGUCGCUGCCGUAGGUGAGCACUUGUGUGAUGCUGUGUGGCCACGCCACUUUAAACUAAGCCUUAACUAAAUGAGAAAUGUGUCAGAUUCCUCUCUCAGAGUAUGCAAAAUACUGUUCAAGGACAGGAGGAUGUUCCUGUAGAGCUUCAGUGUUAGCAAAGGCAGUCUCCUGACGUGAGAAACAAGGGACACCUGUGGCUGUCUGUACUGUGAUGCCUCUUUGGGCACUGGCUGUCGCGGGCCCUUGGGCGUUCCUCUGGCAGCUGACCCCAAACAGGCUUUCCCAAAUCCCAGCUUUUUGUUGUCCUUGUUGUCAGACCUAUUCUUCUCCAUUCCCCUGCCAGCAAAUCUCUGCCUGAAGGAGGAUUGUGAUUUAACAUUCAUAUUUUACAUCCCAAAAAAAGCCAUUCUUGAAUUCUGUGCUUGCUUUUCGGGUAGGUGCCAUUGCUUCCACUUCUUAUGACUGACAUAGGAUCCUUAAAACAUUUUCAAUAGAGGCAAAAAAAAAAGUGUUGGGGACCCAGCUUGCUUUUGUUUUAUUUUUUUUCCAAUUUGGAUCUACCUCAUGUAACCAGUUGGGUGCUAAUUACUCAAAUUGUCAAGGAGAUUUGGCAAAGGCGACCAAACCGACCCCAUCCGCGGCCCAAACCCUCGGGUUUCUUGUUCUGAAACAGCAAUCUUAGAUUUGAGUUAAAUUCUUUGUGCCUUUGUGUUUUUCUUCCCCAGUGCACAACAAUCAAAACUCAUCUUCCUGAUUAAAAACAGCAGAUGGUUUUUAACCGCACCACAAAAAACUGAAUUUGAAAAUAUUUUUCGGUGUAGCAAGUUGUAAAAUCAAGUAUCACAGCUGACCUAGGCAAAGAGAAAUACCCAAUAAAGAAGGUUUUGGAAAUGUUUAAUCCUGACCCCAGAUCUCUACAUCUCUGUGUCUCUAUAUAUGCACAUAGAACACGACUCUGUGUGUGUAUGUGUAUAUAUAUAAAUAUAAAAUGAAGGGAUACACGUGUAAGAGUGAGGGAAUAAAACAUCAUUGACCUUUCCACAGUUUUGUAUGUAACAGUUUACAACUAUGUGUAAGUUUUUUCUACUGUGUGAACCUUUUUUACUCAAAAAGAAUUCCUUUUUGGAAAGCUUUAAGUUGUGAUAUGCUAUCAUUUUUUGAAGUUUAAAAAAUUUUUUAAAAAUCCACUAUUUACCAGUACCUAAUACAGAGGGGAAAAUCUUUGCUGUAAAACUGUAUUUAGUUUAAAUAUUAAAAGAAAAAAAAAAAUCUAUAUAUGGGAUUGUAAAAGUGCAUUCCAUCAUGACAGGACUUCCCAGCUGUUUCCUAAGGCUUUCUGUUGCAGAGAGACUCAAGCAAAAGGAAAAUGCCUCUGUUCAGUGUUUUUAUAAAACUGCUCCAUCAGGUGUAGACUUAAGCUAUAUUUUCUAAAGCCUAAUCAUCCUUUAAUAUGCUGCAGAUAAAUUAUCAGCAUGGUUGCACUUUCUCAGUAAUAAUGUUUGCCCUGCAAUUGGCUCGUGAUAAGGACUUUAGUUUUUUAACAAAACCAAUCGUACUUUGGGCAGAAGGUAAUAUUUAUAUAGGUACCUCAAGAUUAAAAAAAAAAAGAGCCUGAAUAUGCUGCAUUUUGUUUCUUUAACAUUUUUCAUGUAGCAUUUGUUUGCUUUUCUGGUUUUUUAGGAGAUGACUUAGCUACCUGUUUGCUUUGGGGGACACCAGUAGUGUUUUAGCCGUUGUUUUCUCUGGAUCUCGCAGAAUGUAGUAUCCUGCCUUGGGAUCAUGCAGGAGUUUGGGGUGGGAUGUGCCUGCAGUGUGCACACACGGGGAGGGGGACCAUGGAAAUUUGCUUUAUAGACUUCAGAAAAGGAGGAAAAGGAUACUAUAUUCCUAAAACAGACAAUACAUGUUCCUAAUUCUUAAUUAUGGUUUGCGGGGUUUUUUUGGCUUGUUCUGCUUUCUUGACUCUUUUCUCAAAUACGAGUGUGGAAAGGAGCAGUUGAUUAUUGGGGGCACAUAGUGACCAAACCUGCCCCACUGGUGGGUGUUUUGGGGGUGAUUCCCCAAAUUCAUGGGUAAGAGCAGGACCCUCCUGCUCUGCCUGCUCCCUACUGCAGGUCCACCCUCUACUCCUUCAUUUCCGAGUCAGUGAAAAUCUAAAAACGUGCAGAGAUGGGGAAUUUUUUUUGAGAACUGUUGAAGGAAGCUUCAAAGGCUGUGAAAUUGAGCAUUUAUUGUCAUGUUUUUAAGCUUAGGUGGGUCCUUUUCCAAGUUUGUUUUACAGCUUGCAAGGUAAAAUAGUUUGCACUACUUUUGCAAUAAACUCAUGAAAAACCUAACAGGUUCUGUUCUGGUUUCUUACUGUAUAUAUACAACUAAUACUAAAGAUUUAGCAUAGUGUUUUUCACCUCAAAACAUAAGACUUGUAACAAGCUCAGAAUGCUGUAAUUCCUGACAAAAUAAUGAUGUGAAUGAUAUUUUAUAAAGUUAUUUUGUAUGGUGUCGAUUUUGUUUUGCCUCAUAGUAUGUCAAUAAAAUAAAAUUCCUCAUCUUUACAAGA